rnacentral:misc_RNA from 1 species
AUUCUGCACAAGAGUCCCUUGAAUUGUUUCCCACUCUUGCAAAAAAGGGUAAAGAUAGAAGCUUGAGAGGCACAGUUGUGUAUUAUGAUGGGCAGAUGAAUGACUCAAGGCUUAAUGUUGCUUUGGCAUGUACUGCUGCAUUAGCUGGUGCAGCAGUGGUCAACCAUGCAGAAGUGGUAUCUUUCCUAAAAGAUGAGGCUAAUGAGCGGAUAAUUGGCACACGGAUUCGGGACAAUUUAUCAGGCAAAGAGUUUGAUGCCUAUGCAAAAGUUGUCGUGAAUGCGGCUGGGCCAUUUUGUGACUCUGUAAGGAAAAUGGCUAAGAAUGAUGCACAUAUGUCCUAGCAGUGGUGUACAUAUUGUUCUCCCUGAUUAUUAUUCUCCAGAGGGAAUGGGCUUGAUUGUUCCUAAAACAAAGGAUGGGCGCGUUGUUUUCAUGCUGCCAUGGUUGGGAAGAACAGUCGCUGGAACUACAGAUUCUAACACUGACAUCACUUUACUUCCAGAACCACACGAAGAUGAGAUUCAGUUUAUACUUGACGCUAUAUCAGAUUACCUUAGUGUUAAGGUACGCCGCAUUGAUGUUCUUUCAGCCUGGAGUGGUAUUCGCCCAUUAGCUAUUGAUCCAUCAGCNAUCAACAAAAAAUACUGAGAGCAUCUCCAGAGAUCAUGUUGUAUGUGAAGAUUAUCCUGGUUUGGUCACAAUCACUGGCGGAAAAUGGACUACUUACAGAAGCAUGGCAGAAGAUGCUGUUGAUGCAGCAAUAAAGUCUGGAAAACUAAGUCCAACAAAUGGAUGUUUAACUCAAAACCUCAGGCUGAUUGGUGGGGAUGGAUGGGAGCCUUCAUCAUUCACUGUUCUUGCUCAACAAUAUGUACGCAUGAAGAGGACAUCUGGCGGUAAAGUUGUCCCUGGAGUAAUGGACACAACUUCUGCUAAGCAUUUAUCACAUGCAUACGGUACAUGGGCAGAACGAGUGCCUGCCAUAGCUCAGAAUGAAGGUCUAGGGAAGCGGCUUGCGCAUGGCUACCCUUUUCUAGAAGCAGAGGUUGCCUACUGUGCCCGAAAUGAAUACUGUGAAUCUGCUGUUGAUUUCAUUGCAAGGAGAUCACGGCUUGCUUUCCUGGAUACUGAUGCAGCGGGCCGGGCAUUGCCACGUGUCAUUGAGAUAUUGGCUAAUGAACACAACUGGGAUAAGGCA